GACGAACGCUGGCGGCGUGCUUAACUCAUGCAAGUCGAACGGAAAGGCCCCUUUGGGGGUCCUCGAGUGGCGAACGGGUGAGUAACACGUGAGUAACCUGCCCUUGACUUCGGGAUAACUUCAGGAAACUGGGGCUAAUACCGGAUAGGAAUCCUUGCUGCAUGGUGGGGGUUGGAAAGCUUCGGCGGUUUUGGAUGGACUCGCGGCUUAUCAGCUUGUUGGUGGGGUAGUGGCUUACCAAGGCUUUGACGGGUAGCCGGCCUGAGAGGGCGACCGGCCACAUUGGGACUGAGAUACGGCCCAGACUCCUACGGGAGGCAGCAGUGGGGAAUAUUGCACAAUGGGCGGAAGCCUGAUGCAGCAACGCCGCGUGCGGGAUGACGGCCUUCGGGUUGUAAACCGCUUUCAGCAGGGGCGAAGCUUGUGGUGACGGUACCUGCAGAAGAAGCACCGGCUAACUACGUG
rnacentral:rRNA from 1 species